GGAGGUCAUGGUGGACUACAGGAGGUCCAGGAGGACUACAGGAGGUCCAGGAGGACUACAGGAGGUCCAGGAGGACUACAGGAGGUCAUGGUGGACUACAGGAGGUCCAUGAGGACUACAAGAGGUCCAGGAGGAUUACAGGAGGUCCAGGAGGACUACAGGAGGUCAUGGUGGACUACAGGAGGUCCAGGAGGACUACAGGAGGUCCAGGAGGACUACAGGAGGUCCAGGAGGACUACAGGAGGUCAUGGUGGACUACAGGAGGUCCAGGAGGACAGAGCAUCUCCUCUCCUCAUCAAAGAUGAAGCGGUGGAGCGUGUUGACAACAUCAAGUUCCUGGGCGUCCACCUUACAUCUGACCUGGUCCCU